rnacentral:rRNA from 1 species
CGGACGGGUGAGUAACGCGUGGGGAACCUGCCUUGCACCGGGGGAUAACACUUAGAGAUAGGUGCUAAUACCGCAUAAGCGCACAGAGCCGCAUGGCUCAGUGUGAAAAACUCCGGUGGUGCAAGAUGGACCCGCGUCUGAUUAGCUGGUUGGCGGGGUAACGGCCCACCAAGGCGACGAUCAGUAGCCGGCCUGAGAGGGUGAUCGGCCACAUUGGGACUGAGACACGGCCCAAACUCCUACGGAAGGCAGCAG